rnacentral:rRNA from 1 species
UUCAGCGGCGGACGGGUGAGUAAUGCCUAGGAAUCUGCCUGGUAGUGGGGGAUAACGUCCGGAAACGGGCGCUAAUACCGCAUACGUCCUGAGGGAGAAAGUGGGGGAUCUUCGGACCUCACGCUAUCAGAUGAGCCUAGGUCGGAUUAGCUAGUUGGUGGGGUAAAGGCCUACCAAGGCGACGAUCCGUAACUGGUCUGAGAGGAUGAUCAGUCACACUGGAACUGAGACACGGUCCAGACUCCUACGGGAGGCAGCAGUGGGGAAUAUUGGACAAUGGGCGAAAGCCUGAUCCAGCCAUGCCGCGUGUGUGAAGAAGGUCUUCGGAUUGUAAAGCACUUUAAGUUGGGAGGAAGGGCAGUAAGUUAAUACCUUGCUGUUUUGACGUUACCAACAGAAUAAGCACCGGCUAACUUCGUGCCAGCAGCCGCGGUAAUACGAAGGGUGCAAGCGUUAAUCGGAAUUACUGGGCGUAAAGCGCGCGUAGGUGGUUCAGCAAGUUGGAUGUGAAAUCCCCGGGCUCAACCUGGGAACUGCAUCCAAAACUACU